AAUGGACGAAAGUCUGACGCAGCCAUGCCGCGUGCAGGAUGAAUGCCUAUGGGUUGUAAACUGCUUUUAUAUACCAAGAACCUUCGGACGUGUCCGAGGCUGACGGUAGUAUAUGAAUAAGGACCGGCUAACUCCGUGCCAGCAGCCGCGGUAAUACGGAGGGUCCAAGCGUUAUCCGGAUUUAUUGGGUUUAAAGGGUUCGUAGGCGGGGUAUUAAGUCAGUGGUGAAAGCCCACAGCUCAACUGUGGAACUGCCAUUGAUACUGGUACUCUUGAGUAUAGUAGAAGUUAGCGGAAUGUGUCAUGUAGCGGUGAAAUGCUUAGAUAUGACCCAGAACACCGAUUGCGAAAGCAGCUAACUAUGUUAUUACUGACGCUGAGGAACGAAAGCGUGGGGAGCGAACAGGAUU
rnacentral:rRNA from 1 species